GAAGUUGGCCAGACAGUCGCCGCGUGCUUGCACGGGGAGGAAAGUCCGGGCUCCACAGGGCAGGAUGCUGGCUAACGGCCAGGCGUCGCGAGGCGACGGAAAGUGGAACAGAGAGCUGAACCGCCGAUGGCCGGACUUGUUACCCGCAAGGGUGGCAAGGUCUUUUCAGGCAGGGCUUGUCCCUGAAUGAGAAUCCGCAAGGACGGCACAGGCAAGGGUGAAAAGGUGGACUCCUUCGGGAGCCGCCGGGGGUAACCCCGGCGCGGUAAGAGCGCACCGCGGACGCAGUGAUGCGGACGGCAGGCUAAACCCCAUCCGGAGCAAGACCAAAUAGGGGUACAUUGGCGUGGCCCGCGCUGUACCCGGGUAGGUUGCUUGAGCCUGUCGGUAACGGCAGGACUAGAGGAAUGACUGUUCAACGACAGAACCCGGCUUACCGGCUGACUUCCCAC
rnacentral:RNase_P_RNA from 2 species